UACGGAGGAUGCAAGCGUUAUCCGGAAUGAUUGGGCGUAAAGCGUCCGCAGGUGGCAAUGUAAGUCUGCUGUUAAAGAGUGAGGCUCAACCUCAUAAGAGCAGUGGAAACUACAUAGCUAGAGUGCGUUCGGGGCAAAGGGAAUUCCUGGUGUAGCGGUGAAAUGCGCAGAUAUCAGGAGGAACACCGGUGGCGAAGGCGGAUCUCUGGGCCUUACCUGACGCUGAGGCGCGAAAGCUAGGGGAGCGAACAGG
rnacentral:rRNA from 1 species